UACGAAGGGGACUAGCGUUGUUCGGAAUUACUGGGCGUAAAGCGCACGUAGGCGGACUCUUAAGUCGGUGGUGAAAUCCUGGAGCUCAACUCCAGAACUGCCUUCGAUACUGGGAGUCUCGAGUUCGGGAGAGGUGAGUGGAACUGCGAGUGUAGAGGUGAAAUUCGUAGAUAUUCGCAAGAACACCAGUGGCGAAGGCGGCUCACUGGCCCGAUACUGACGCUGAGGUGCGAAAGCGUGGGGAGCAAACAGG
rnacentral:rRNA from 1 species